UUUUCAUUGGUUAGCUAGAAUUUCCAAAAGUUUCUAAGGUCCUCCACCUGGGUAAAAAUGGCUUGAGUUUUGGGUUUUAAAGGUCUGGUUUGAGUUGUUGUUAGGAUACUGUUUCAUUGUUGUUUCUUAAGCUGAUUUCUGCUAGUGCUGAUUGGUGAUUCUUCACUUCUUUUGUGUCCCUUUUUAUUUCCAGGUACUUCUUAUGAACCAUUAAAUGGCAAAGUGAAGUUGUGAGAGAGCCAGAGCCCUUAAGUGGUAAAAGGAUAUAAAAUUCCCAAUGGGAGAGCAUGCGCCCAGAGAAGAGAAGCGCUUAAGCAAAGAAGGUUGACUUGGAAGUUGUUUAGUUAGAGGAGGACGCCCCAAGCCAAUGGUGACCGAAAAGCACCUUUUUGGGGGUUCUAUCGAAGACUUAUAGUGCAUCUAUUAAGUACAUCUACAAGACGAUGAAACUAUAUAUGAUAUGCCAGUAGAUUAGUUGUUUCAAUUUCAUCAGAUGUG
rnacentral:lncRNA from 1 species